rnacentral:lncRNA from 1 species
AAAGGGAUAGUCGGACUUGGAACGGGGUCCGAGGCCUCGAAAGUCCACAUCUAGCUACUGGGUGGUCCGAUUCUGAGUGAUCUCGAACUUUCUUGUCCACAAAAGCCGAACGGUGACGCCCCAGACUCGGUUUCUUGGUUCCGUCCCAAAACGCCGAAGAAAGGCACAAUGGCCUAGAAAGGGACGGUCGGACUUGGAACGGGGUCCGAGGCCUCGAAAGUCCACAUCAAGCUACUGGGUGGUCCGAUUCUGAGUGAUCUCGAAGUUUCUAGCCACAAAAGCCGAACGGUGACGCCCCAGACUCGGUUUUUUGGUUCCGUCCCAAAACGCCGAAGAAAGGCACAAUGGCCUAGAAAGGGACGGUCGGACAUGGAACGGGGUCCGAGGCGUCGAAAGUCCACAUCUAGCUACUGGGUGGUCCGAUUCCGAGUGAUCUCGAAGUUUCUUGCCCACAAAAGCCGAACGGUGCGCCCCAGACUCGGUUUCUUGGUUCCGUCCCGAAACGCCGAAGAAAGGCACAAUGGCCUCGAAAGGGACGGUCGGACUUGGAACGGGGUCUGAGGCCUCGAAAGUCCACAUCUAGCUACUUGGUGGUCCGAUUCUGAGUGAUCUCGAAGUUUCUUGCCCAGAAAAGCCGAACGGUGUCGCCCUAGACUCGGUUUCUUGGUUCCGUCCCAAAACGCCGAAGAAAGGCACAAUGGCCCAGUAAGGGACGGUCGGACUAGGAACGGGGUCCGAGGCCUCGAAAGUCCACAUCUAGCUACUGGGUGGUCCGAUUCUGAGUGAUCUCGAAGUUUCUUGCCCACAAAAGCCGAACGGUGACGCCCCAGACUCGGUUUCUUGGUUUUGUCCCAUAACGCCGAAGAAAGGCACAGUGGCCUAGAAAGGGACGGUCGGACUUGGAACGGGGUCCUAGGCCUCGAAAGUCCACAUCUAGCUACUUGAUGGUCCGAUUCUGAGUGAUCUCGAAGUUUCUUGGCCACAAAAGCCGAACGGUGACGCCCCAGACUCGGUUUCUUGGUUCCGUACCAAAACGCCGAAGAAAGGCACAGUGGCCUAGAAAGGGACGGUCGGACUUGGAACGGGGUCCGAGGCCUCGAAAGUCCACAUCUAGCUACUGGGUGGUCCGAUUCUGAGUUAUCUCGAAGUUUCUUGCGCACAAAAACCAAACGGUGACGCCCCAGACUCGGUUUCUUGGUUCCUUCCGAAAACGCCGAAGAAAGACACAAUGGCCUAGAAAGGGACGGUCGGACUUGGAACGCAGUCCGGGGCCUCGAAAGUCCACAUCUAGCUACUGGGUGGUCCGAUUCUGAGUGAUCUCGAAGUUUCUUGCCCACAAAAGCCGAACGGUGUCGCCCCAGACUCGGUUUCUUGGUUCCGUCCCAAAACGUCGAAGAAAGGCACAUUGGCCUAGAAAGGGACGGUCGGACUUGGAACGGUGUCCGAGGCCUCGAAAGUCCACAUCUAGCUACUCCGUGGUCCGAUUCUGAGUGAUCUCGAAGUUUCUUGCCCACAAAAGGCGAACGGUGACGCCCCAGACUCGGUUUCUUGGUUCCGUCCAAAAACGCCGAAGAAAGGGACAAUGGCCUAGAAAGGGACGGUCGGACUUGGAACGCGGUCCGAGGCCUCGAAAGUCCACAUCUAACUACCGGGUGGUCCGAUUCUGAGUGAUCUCGAAGUUUCUUGCCCACAAAAGCUGAACGGUGACGCCCCAAACUCGGUUUCUUGGUUCCGUCCCAAAACGCCGAAGAAAGGCACAAUUUCCUAGAAAGGGACGAUCGGACUUGGAACGGGUCCGAGGCCUCGAAAGUCCACAUCUAGCUACUGGGUGGUCCGAUUCUGAGUGAUCUCGAAGUUUCUUGCCCACAAAAGCCGAACGGUGACGCCCCAGACUCGGUUUCUUGGUUCCGUCCCAAAACGCUGAAGAAAGGCACAAUGGCCUAGAAAGGGACGGUCGGACUUGGAACGAGGUCCGAGGCCUCGAAAGUACACAUGUAGCUACUGGGUGGUCUGAUUCUUAGUGACCUUGAAGUUUCUUAACCACAAAAGCCGAACGGUGACGCCCCAGACUCGGUUUCUUGGUUCCCUCCCAAAACGCCGAAGAAAGGCACAAUGGCCUAGAAAGGGACGGUCGGACUUGGAACGGGGUCCGAAGCCUCGAAAGUCCACAUGUAGCUACUGGGUGGUCCGAUUCUUUGUGAUCUCGAAGUUUCUUGACCACAAAAGCCGAACGGUGACGCCCAGACUCGGUUUCUUGGUUCCGUCCCAAAACGCCGAAGAAAAGCACAAUGGCCUAGAAAGGGACGGUCGGACUUGGAACGGGGUCCGAGGCCUCGAAAGUCCACAUCUAGCUACUGGGUGGUCUGAUUCUUUGUGAUCUCGAAGUUUCUUGCCCACAAAAGCCGAACGGUGACGCCCAGACUCGGUUUCUUAGUUCCGUCCCAAAACGCCGAAGAAAGGCACAAUUUCCUAGAAAGGGACGGUCGGACUUGGAACGGGGUCCGAGGCCUCGAAAGUCCAUAUCUAGCUACUGGGUGGUCCGAUUCUGAGUGAUCUCGAAGUUUCUUGCCCACAAAAGCCGAACGGUGACGCCCGAGACUCGGUUUCUUGGUUCCGUCCCAAAACGCCGAAGAAAAGCACAAUGGCCUAGAAAGGGACGGUCGGACUUGGAACGGGGUCCGAGGCCUCGAAAGUCCACAUCUAGCUACUGGGUGGUCUGAUUCUUUGUGAUCUCGAAGUUUCUUGCCCACAAAAGCCGAACGGUGACGCCCCAGACUCGGUUUCUUGGUUCCGUCCCAAAACGCCGAAGAAAGGCACAAUGGACUAGAAAGAGACGGUCGGACUUGGAACGGGGUCCGAGGCCUCAAAAGUCCACAUCUAGCUACUGGGUGGUCCGAUUCUUUGUGAUCUCGAAGUUUCUUGCCCACAAAAGCCGAACGGUGACGCCCCAGACUCGGUUUCUUGGUUCCGUCACAAAACGCCGAAGAAAGGCACAAUGGCCUAGAAAGGGACGGUCGGACUUGGAACGGGGUCCGAGGCCUCGAAAGUCCACAUCUAGCUACUGGGUGGUCCGAUUCUUUGUGAUCUCGAAGUUUCUUGCCCACAAAAGCCGAACGGUGACGCCCCAGACUCGGUUUCUUGGUUCCAUCCCAAAACGCGGAAGAAAGGCACAAUGGCCUAGAAAGGGACGGUCGGACUUGGAACGGGGUCCGUUGCCUCGAAAGUCCACAUCUAGCUACUGGGUGGUCCGAUUCUGAGUGAUCUCGAAGUUUCUUGCCCACAAAAGCCGAACGGUGACGCCUAGACUCGGUUUCUUGGUUUCGUCCCAAAACGCCGAAGAAAGGCACAGUGGCCUAGAAAGGGACGGUCGGACUUGGAACGGGGUCUGAGGCCUCGAAAGUCCACAUCUAGCUACUGGGUGGUCCGAUUCUUUGUGAUCUCGAAGUUUCUUGCCCACAAAAGCCGAACGGUGACGCCCAGACUCGGUUUCUUGGUUCCGUCCCAAAACGCCGAAAAAAGGCACAAUGGCCUAGAAAGGGACGGUCGGACUUGGAACGGGGUCCGAGGCCUCGAAAGUCCACAUCUAGCUACUGGUGGUCCGAUUCUUUGUGAUCUGGAAGUUUCUUGCCCACAAAAGCCGAACGG